rnacentral:lncRNA from 1 species
GAAAAUAGAAUUUCAAAUUUUGAGAAGCCCAAAUCCAACUCAAUCACUGCCAACACAAUUCCAAGAGCCACGAAAGAGUUUCUCACCUAAGGAAUUCCAUUUGCAAUUAAAUUCAACAUCAAAAGAGGAAUCAAAAACCAAAUCAAGAAGGGAUUUCAAAACCCUAGAUGGAUGGAAUUCUUCAGCUAUAAAAGAGCAGCCUCCAAACCAGCAAAGGGGCAUCUCAUCUUUAGCAAUUCUGCAGAAAAAUACAGCAGCUUGUCUCCUUCCUUUCUUCUUCUUUUCUUUUGUGAUUUUGUCCACCAUGAGUGGCUAAACACUUUUCCUUUCUAGUUGAAGUUGAAAAAUUCAGAUUUGUGAUGAAUUGGGAGAUUUAAAUCUCCAUUGUUAAACUUCUAUUUAUUUUCAAUAUUUAUGCAAUUUGAUCUUUCUAUAAUUGUUGCUUUGCUUUUAGAAUCAAUUUAGGCCUAUUGCUUUUAAUUGCUUGAGUAACAAUUGUUUGAAUAAUUUAGGUCCGUAAUUGCUUAGAUUAUUUAAACACAUAUUUAAUCAAGUUGCAUAAUCUAAACUUGACCACGCAGUUGGCAAGGUUAGAAUUAGGUUUCUCUAAGUCUUAAUGCAGUUAACAGUUGUUCGAUGCUAAAAGCCCUAAGGACGUUCCUUGGCAACUUGUUAACUAGUAUUUGAUUAGCGAACGUUUCCUAAUCAAACUAGAACUAAGGAGGAAUUUGGAUUGUGAGAAGCGUCUUCCACAUCCUAAACUAAUUUAUUGAAAUAAAUAGGAGUGUUAAAGAAUCAAUGAUCAAUUCUAAACAAUCUAAAAUAGAUCCAUACUUCAACUAGAAGUUUUUCUCUUAUUGAUUUACUCAUCUUUAAAUUAUUUGCUUUCUAUUGUUAAUUAGCUUUAGUACAUCUUCAAAACAAAACCCCCUUCUUUUAAUUACUUGUUAUUUACUUGACCAAGUCAUUAUUAGGAAAAUCUGUAGUGUCAAUUCUCUGUGGUUCGACCCUAUUGCCACUAUCUGCAAUUUAUUUUGUUGGUUGAUAAUAGGUUUAUUUUUGACGGCUUCGACAACCGCUUAUCAAAAAUUGGCGCCGUUGCUGGGAAUUUGAUCUAACUAACGUAUUUUCCUUUUAUGACCAAGGCUGAUCGUAAAGAAGCUCUUCUUUACGAUCCAGAAAUUGAAACGCACUGCCAAGACCUUACAAGCAUGGCUACGGUAAGUAUGUCUUUUCUCUCUUCUCAAAUUUCUGAACUAACCUCUAUUGUGAGAAAUUAUGGUAUAGGUCAAGCUCAACAAGUUCAACAACUUCAGCGAAUCAGACCAUGUGAGAUUUGCACAUAUGUAGGACACCCAACUGAUCGAUGUCCUAUACUUUAUGAGGAUUACCGGCAAGUACAUGCCUUUGGAGGAUUCAAUAGCCAGCCAAGACAUGAUCCCUACCUGGAUACCUACAAUCCAUGUUAGAGGGACCACCCGAAUUAUGACUAUGCAAGGGCUAACUACUACCAAAACUAUCAAGCCCAAGCAACACCUCAAAACUCCAAUAUGGAACUUGAAGAGAUGGUGAGGAAAUUGGAAAUUUCUGGGAAAAUUCUCCAACAACAAGUGGAUCAAGCGGUCAACUCAGUGAACGCGCACAUAUUAAGAAGAGAGGAAGAGCUUCAAGAUCUAUGGGAUGAUGAAGAAGGUUCCUAAGAAGCAGACCGAGCUGUUGAGUCUGCUGCACAAAUCACCACUACACUUGAAGCUGAACCAGCUACUGCCCAAACAACACUUGUUGAAGCUUCUGCCUCCCAAGAGAUAGCUCCUGCUGUCAAAAAUAUUGAAUUUAUUGCUGUAACACUUUCUACACGUACUGUCCAAACUGCCGAAGCAAAGACAGCAACUGCUGUCAAACAUACCGAAGCCCCUGCUGUAGAUUUUUCUGCACCAGCAAAAUUUUCUGCACCAGCAGAUUUUUCUGCUGCACCUGCUGCAGAAUUUUCUGCACCAGCAAAUUCACCCACUGACACGCCUGCCACUGCUGAAAUUGCACCAGCAAUUGCUGAACCUGCUGUCCAAAAAUCAGCAAGUGCUGAAUCUGCCACUAUUGCAUCCCCUGCUAUUGUCCAUAAACCAGCAACUGCUGGAAGUACCCCAACUGAACCAGAACCUACUGAAAUUUUGGAAACAGACCAUGCAGAAUCUAAUCAAAAACAAAAUGUUAGUGCCAUCACAUUGAGGAGUGGAAAAGAGCUGCAAGACAGCAAGGCUGAGAAAUUGAAGAAACAGGCCAUGGAGGAGAAUCUGCCAGAAAGUGAUCAGGGCAGUCGAUCUGCCCAAAUCACUGACCCAAUCGCUAGGCAGACUGAGCUGCCCAGUAGUGAUCUGCCCAAAUCACUAGACAAGGCAGAAUUCGAUCUGCCCAAAUCAAUAAUCCAGGUAGAGUCCGGCUCCAAGCAGACCAAGGCAGACCAGCAACCAAUGGAAAAAUUUAAGGUACCUCCUCCCUUCCCAAAGAGAUUUGCAAGGUCCCAAAAGGAGAAAGAGGAGAAAGAAAUACUUGAGACACUCCGCAAGGUAGAAAUCAACAUUCCCCUAUUAGAUGCUGUGAAGCAAAUUCCAAGGUAUGCCAAGUUUCUCAAAGAGCUAUGCACCAACCGAAGGAAACUUGCUGAACGUGAAAAGGUAAGUGUGGGGGAGUGUGUCUCAGCUGUCAUUCAAAAAAAACUUCCAACCAAAUGCAAGGAUAAAGGGAUGUUUGUCGUUUCAUGCAAAAUAGGCAAUGUAGGGAUAAAGAAGGCCAUGUGUGACCUUGGAGCUUCAAUCAAUGUCGUGCCCCUUUCUAUUUUUAACUUAUUGAAUGCAGGAACAUUCAAGGGCACCAACAUUGUGAUUCAAUUAGCUGACCGAUCGUUUGUCUAUCCCAAGGGAGUGCUUGAAGAUGUGUUGGUACAAGUUGACCAACUAGUCUUCCCAGCAGAUUUUUAUGUGAUUGACAUGGAGGAGGAUAAGGGCAAAAUCACCUCUGACAUCCUACUUGGGAGACCAUUCUUGAGCACAGCAAGAACCAAAAUUGAUGUGCAUGAUGGCACAUUAACCAUGGAAUUUGAAGGGGAAGUUAUCAAGUUUAAUGUUUAUGAUGCCAUGAAAUUCCCCAAUGAUGUUUCUCCUGUUUAUGGCCUUGAUGUUAUUGAUGAUUUAAGUCAAGAAAUUUUUGAUUUUGAUCAAGAAAACUUACUUUAUAAUGGUCUUUACAGGAGACAAGAAGUGGACAGCAGCUGUACCAAGACAGAAGAAGUGAAGACAGCAGACUGUUGUACCUUGCAGGUGGCGGAUGAUCUGCCCAAAUCACCUAAGCAAACAGACCCCGUCUUGCCUAAAUCACUGGAGCAGACAGACAUGGUAGAGAGUGAUUUGCCCAAAUCAACACCAAAUCUGCCCCAAUCAGCAAGUAGACAGCAAGCAGAGUCCCAGACAGCAACUGUACCAGAUCUGAAGCCCUUACCAAGGCACCUCAAAUACGCCUUCUUGGGAGCUGGAAAUACACUUCCAGUUAUAAUUUCCAACCAGCUCAGCCCACAAGAAGAAGAAAAACUCCUAGAAGUGUUGAGGAAGCACAAAGAAGCAAUUGGGUGGACCUUGGAGGACAUAAAAGGCACCUCAAGACCAUUCGGUGGAGGCUCAUCUCACCAGAAUCGAAGACAGGAUGCAGCACAUGGAAAGCAUGCUGCAGCUGCUGGUGGACCAUUUUCUGCCCCACCUCCAUGACAAACAGUGAUUUGGCGAGUGAUUUGCCCAAAUCACUGGCCAAAUCGCCCACAGAUCAGGCAGUCCCUUUCCUUCUCCUUAUUAAUUUUUUCAUAUAAAUGUUUAACCAUUGAGGACAAUGUUUGGGAUAGGUGUGGGGGUAUUUACAGUUAGGGGUUAUAUUUUUUUUUUCGUUUACAUUAUCUUUUUGCUUUCUUUUUGUUUCUUUUUGCAUCUUUUUGCCCCAUAAAUACACACCAAAAUUUUUUCACACAUUUUUCACUUUUUGCACACACACACACAAAAUUUUGACUUAGCUUUUGCUCUACUCAGCAUAGAUAACAAGGUUAAAAGAGCUUCCUAUCUCAAGAGCCCAUUGAUUUUCCACCCCUUUAAGCCUAAAUUGAAUCAAUUAUAGUGUGCUACCUUCACUUUGGAAGUUCUUUUCUUGAAUUGAAUCUCUAAAUUUGCAUUGGUCAAGGGAAAUAAAAAUAUAAAUACAUGCAAAUAAAAAGUUAGUGUAACUCCCUAUGAGGUGAUUUGCCCAAACUGUCAUGAAAAGAAAAGAAAAAGAAAAACCAGCACAAAGCACAAAUCAUAAACCUGUUCCAAUGGCCAAAUAAGCUAUGAACAGAGCUAGUAGCCACUUGAACAAGUGACUAACUGAGUAACUGGAGGUGGGUAUCACCAAUAUGCACCUUCGCGUAAAAAAGUUAGUGAUUUUUUCAGGCAACAAUAAAAAAGUGUUGCUGAAUAAAAUAAAAAGCUCAAGGGAGGGCAAGUCACUCUUAGAGGUUGCACAAAUAGAAUAAGCAUGAUUGAAUCAAAAACCUUUCAUUUGACCAUGGUAGGUGAAGGGAAACAAGGAAAAGAGAGAACAACCUUGGUACAUGUACUCUAUACUGUAAUCUUCAAUUUAGGAGUCUAGGGGGAGCUAAUCAAGUGGUACUUAGGCUCUAAAGAAAAGGGGCUUGAUUGACUAAGUUGUUUGUUGCUUGAGGACAAGUAAAAAGCUAGGUGUGGGGGUAUUUGAUCAAACAUAAAUUAGCCACAUUUUUAUUAUCUUUAUUAUUGUUUAUUUACACAUUUUUUAGCUUAAUUUAUGGUUUUUACCUUGUUUUUACAGAAAAGAAAGAAAUUGAAAAAUUGGAGAAAAAAGUGCAGAAAAUGGCAGAAAAGUGAUUGGGUCAGUAACUUGGCCAAAUCACUGCCCAGAUCAAGCUAAAGCAGAAACCUGGAGGCAACAGGUAGAAGUGAUUUGGGCAAGCGAUCUGCCCAAAUCACCGCCCAAAUCACUCGCAGAGACAGAAAGCUCAAAACUGGAUUAACUCAUAGAAAAGCGAUUGGGGCAGCGAUCUGCCCAAAUCACCGCCCUAAUCACAUUGACAGCAAAAAUUGACAGCUGAGUGGGAAAUUGUUCAGAAAAUAGAAUUUUGAAUUUUGAGAAGCCCAAAUCCAACUCAAUCACUGCCAACACAAUUCCAAGAGCCACGAAAGAGUUUCUCACCUAAGGAAUUCCAUUUGCAAUUAAAUUCAACAUCAAAAGAGGAAUCAAAAACCAAAUCAAGAAGGGAUUUCAAAACCCUAGAUGGAUGGAAUUCUUCAGCUAUAAAAGAGCAGCCUCCAAACCAGCAAAGGGGCAUCUCAUCUUCAGCAAUUCUGCAGAAAAAUACAGCAGCUUGUCUC